AUUGAACGCUGGCGGCAGGCCUAACACAUGCAAGUCGAACGAGUGGCGGACGGGUGAGUAAUGUCUGGGAAACUGCCCGAUGGAGGGGGAUAAAUACUGGAAACGGUAGCUAAUACCGCAUACCAUCGGAUGUGCCCAGAUGGGAUUAGCUAGUAGGUGGGGUAACGGCUCACCUAGGCGACGAUCCCUAGCUGGUCUGAGGGGAUGACCAGCCACACGGGAACGGAGACACGGUCCAGACUCCUACGGGAGGCAGCAGUGGGGAAUAUUGCACCAUGGGCGCAAGCCUGUUGCAGCCAUGCCGCUUGUAUGAAGAAGGCCUUCGGUUUGUAAAGUACUUUCAGCGGGGAGGCGUUACCCGCAGAAGAAGCACCGUCUAACUCCGUGCCAGCAUCCGCGGUAAUAC
rnacentral:rRNA from 1 species